AAAAAGAAUUUUCACUUAAAAAUUUAUUAUAAAUUUGUUUUACAUAUAAAUUUUUUAGUUAGUUUUAAAAAAAAUUUUAAAAAUUAAAAAAAAAUUAUUUAUAGUAUUUAAUUUUGAAUAUUUAAGAAAUUAAGAUUUAGUAAUAUUAGAAUUAUUAACUAAUUUUGUGCCAGCAGUUGCGGUUAUACAAUAAAUAAAUUAAAUUUUAUUAGUAAUUAAUUAAUAAAUUAAUAUAAUUAUUAUAAAUUUAUUAUUAUUAAGUAAAAUUUUAAUUUUUUAAAAUAUAAUUAAUAUUUAAUUAUGAUUUAAUAAAUUUUAUUUUAAACUAGGAUUAGAUACCCUAUUAUUAAAAAAUUAAAAUUUUAAACUAAAAUAGUAAAUUGGUUUUAAAACUUAAAAAAAUUGGCGGUAUUUUAGUUUAUUUAGAGGAAUCUGUUUAUUAAUUGAUAUUCCACGAAUAAAUUUACUUAAUUUAAAGUUUAUAUAUCGUCGUUAAAAAAAUAUUUUAUAAAAAUAAAAAUAUUUAAAAAUUUAAAUAAAAAAUUAAAUCAGAUCAAGAUGUAAUUUAUGUUUAAGAAUAUAAUGGAUUACAAUGAAAAUAUUUAUAAUGAAUUAUAAUUUGUAAUAAUUAUAUGAAAUUGGAUUUAAAUGUAAUUAUAUUUAAUUUAAUUUAAUGAUUUAAUAUUAAAAUAUGUACAUAUUGCCCGUCGCUCUCAUUUUAAAAUUGAGAUAAGUCGUAACAAAGUAGAGGUACUGGAAAGUGUUUCUAGAAAGAG
rnacentral:ncRNA from 1 species